UACGGAGGGUGCAAGCGUUGUUCGGAGUCACUGGGCGUAAAGCGCGUGUAGGCGGCUAUUUAAGUCUGAUGUGAAAGCCCUGGGCUUAACUCAGGAAGUGCAUUGGAUACUGGGUAGCUGGAGUACCGGAGAGGAGGGUGGAAUUCCUGGUGUAGCGGUGAAAUGCGUAGAUAUCAGGAGGAACACCGGUGGCGAAGGCGUCCCUCUGGCCGGAUACUGACGCUGAGACGCGAAAGCGUGGGGAGCAAACAGG
rnacentral:rRNA from 1 species